GUGAAUCAUCGAAUCUUUGAACGCAAAUUGCACUCUCUUGCAUGCCGGAGAGUGUUCCUGGGUGAGGGUCAGUUUAAAUGAAAAUGUAGGUGUUGCUGGGUUAUAACCCAUCGGAAUUGGGUUAUCUUUAACCUUUUAGAAAAUGUAAGUGACCUAAAAUUGAUACCUUGCACAUCUCAG
rnacentral:misc_RNA from 1 species